UACGUAGGGUGCGAGCGUUGCCCGGAUUCAUUGGGCGUACAGCGCGCGCAGGCGGAUGCGCACGUCCCGCGUGAAAUCGCCCGGCUCAACCGGGCGGGGUCGCGGGUUACGGCGCGUCUGGAGCACGGGAGGGGGCAGUGGAAUUCCCGGUGUAGUGGUGGAAUGCGUAGAGAUCGGGAGGAACACCAGUGGCGAAGGCGACUGCCUGUACCGUGGCUGACGCUGAGGCGCGAAAGCGUGGGGAGCGAUCCGG
rnacentral:rRNA from 1 species